AUGAACGCUAGGCGGCAGGCUUUAAUACAUGCAAGUCGAGGGGGCAGCAAGGGGCGUAGCAAUACGUUCGCUGGCGACCGGCAAAACGGGUGCGGAAACACGUAACACAACCUUCCUUAAAAGUGGGGGAUAGCCCGGGGAAACCCGGAUUAAAUACCCCGUAACAUAAUGAAGUGGCAUCGCUUUAUUAUUUAUAGCAGCAAUGCGCUUAAAAGAUGGGGUGUGCGACUGAUUAGGCAGUUGGCGGGGUUAAACGGCCCACCAAACCUACGAUCAGUAACUGGUGUGAGAGCACGACCAGUCACACGGGCACUGAGACACGGGGCCCCGACUCCUACGGGAGGCAGCAGUAAGGAAUAUUGGUCAAUGGACGCAAGUCUGAACCAGCCAUGCCGCGUGGAGGAUGAAGGUCCUCUGGAUUGUAACUUCUUUUACCUGGGAAGAAAUCCACAAAUUCUUUUGUGGUUGACGGGUACCAGGUGAAUAAGCACCGGCUAACCUCCGUGCCAGCAGCCGCGGUAAUACGGAGGGGUGCAAGCGUUUAUCCGGAUUCACUGGGUUUAAAGGGUGCGUAGGUGGGUUGGUAAGUCAGUGGUGAAAUCUCCAGGCUUAAACUUGGAAACUGCCAUUGAUACUAUCAAUCUUGAAUACCGUGGGAGGUCAGCGGAAUAUGUCAUGUAGCGGUGAAAUGCUUAGAUAUGACAUAGAACACCAAUUGCGAAGGCAGCUGGCUACGCCGGAUAUUGACACUGAUUGCACGAGAGCGUGGGGAUCAAACAGGAUUAGAUACCCUGGUAGUCCACGCCCUAAACGAUGGAUACUCGACAUACGCGGAUAUAACAGUGUGUGUCUGAGCGAAAGCAAUUAAGUAUCCCACCUGGGAAGUACGAUCGCAAGAUUGAAACUCAAAGGAAUUGGCGGGGGUCCCCGGCCACAAGCGGUGGAGCAUGUGGUUUAAUUCGAUGAUACGCUGAGGAACCUUACCUGGGCUAGAAUGUCAGUGGACUGUGGGUGAAAGCUCACUUUGUAGCAAUACACCGCUGAUAAGGUGCUGCAUGGCUGGUCGUCAGCUCGUGCCGUGAGGUGUUGGGUUAAGUCCCCGCAAACGAGCGCAACCCCCAUCACUAGUUGCCAUCAGGUAACGCUGGGAACUCUAGUGAAACUGCCGUCGUAAGACGUGAGGAAGGAGGGGAUGAUGUCAAGUCAUCAUGGGCCUUUAUGGCCCAGGGCUACACACGUGCUACAAUGGGGGCGUACAAAGAGCAGCAACACAGUGAUGUGAAGCCAAUCUCAAAAAAACGUCUCUCAGUUCAGAUUGAAGGUCUGCAACUCGACUUUCAUGAAGCUUGGAAUCGCUAGUAAUCGUAUAUCAGCAAUGAUACGGUGAAUACGUUCCCGGACCUUGCACACACCGGCCCCGUCAAAGCCAUGGAAGGCCGGGUGUACCUAAAGUCGGUAACCGUAAGGAGCCGCCUAGGGUAAAACUGGUGACUGGGGCC
rnacentral:rRNA from 1 species